UACGGAGGGAGCUAGCGUUGUUCGGAAUUACUGGGCGUAAAGCGCACGUAGGCGGCUUUGUAAGUUAGAGGUGAAAGCCCGGGGCUCAACUCCGGAACUGCCUUUAAGACUGCAUCGCUUGAAUCCGGGAGAGGUGAGUGGAAUUCCGAGUGUAGAGGUGAAAUUCGUAGAUAUUCGGAAGAACACCAGUGGCGAAGGCGGCUCACUGGACCGGUAUUGACGCUGAGGCACGAAGGCCAGGGGAGCAAACGGG
rnacentral:rRNA from 1 species